AUCGUUUCUCGCCCUUUUGGCUGAUCAAGUGCAGUAUUAAGUGUUCUUAUCAGUUUGAUGUCUGAUACAUCUUCGGUAUGAAGGCGCUAAGUUAAGUAGUGUUUUAGAGAAAAGAGGGGGGUUGGGAGCUUGCUCCGUCCUCUCCGCGCAUCGGCCCCGUAUUGUAAUACUUGUAGGCUAGGUGCCUUUUCC